AUUGAACGCUGGCGGCAUGCCUUACACAUGCAAGUCGAACGGCAGCGCGGGGCAACCUGGCGGCGAGUGGCGAACGGGUGAGUAACAUAUCGGAACAUACCCUAGAGUGGGGAUAACGUAGCGAAAGUUACGCUAAUACCGCAUACGCACUAAGGUGGAAAGUGGGGGAUCUUCGGACCUCAUGCUCAUGGAGUGGCCGAUAUCUGAUUAGCUAGUUGGUGAGGUAAAGGCUCACCAAGGCGACGAUCAGUAGCUGGUUUGAGAGAACGACCAGCCACACUGGAACUGAGACACGGUCCAGACUCCUACGGAGGCAGCAGUGGGGAAUUUUGGACAAUGGGGGGCAACCCUGAUCCAGCAAUGCCGCGUGAGUGAAGAAGGCCUUCGGGUUG
rnacentral:rRNA from 1 species